GGUGGCUCAGUGGUAGAGCACUUACCUUGCAUGCAUGAGGCCCCAGGUUCGAUUCCUCAGCACCA
rnacentral:tRNA from 1 species